rnacentral:rRNA from 1 species
UUUAUGGAGAGUUUGAUCCUGGCUCAGGAUGAACGCUGGCGGCGUGCCUAAUACAUGCAAGUCGAGCGAACGGACGAGAAGAUUGCUUCUCUGAUGUUAGCGGCGGACGGGUGAGUAACACGUGGAUAACCUACCUAUAAGACUGGGAUAACUUCGGGAAACCG